AGCAAAUAGCGGAGGUUCCUAACCUCCGCAAACUGCAAUUUUAACCUUCACAAUUUACCCGUCUUUUUGUAAUGUAUUUUUUAUGAUGCAUUUAUGGUGAUCAACAGCUACUAUUUUUCCAUUUUUCAUACAGAUGGCAAUGAUGAUUUAUCAUGUCGGAAGGUUCAACCCAAGAAUUGUCCAUGGAGGCUAACAGAAUGUCUGAAAAGCAGAAAAAUGUAUGAACUCCUAAGAGCAAAUAUCUAUUUUCUUUUGCAACUUUACUCUAAUCUCUCAAUUUGUUAGACUGGGUCGUUUCUACUUUCACUGAAUUCUAGCUCCCAUUUGAAGUAUUUAUUCAGCGGUAAUUACUUGUUGAAUGCCUCUGUAACUCAUUUUGCUCGUUAUAUAUGUGACAGAAUGUCACACUUCCUUUCUUGGAAGAAUAUGAAAUUUUUCCAAUUAAAA